rnacentral:lncRNA from 1 species
GGACCAAAAGCCUCACGAGAGACAUCGUAGAAUUUAGGAUUGCAUUUUCCUUUCCGUUUUGCAUUCAUAUAGUCAUAUCCAACGUGCGAACAUACAUUGGGUAGAAAAAUUAGGAAAAUUGGUUUAAGUCACGCAACUAGCCUUGGCUAGGUCGAAGGGGUGCCUUGGAUUUUUAUCCUUGCCUUCCCCUUCGUCAAAUGUGACCCCCGAUCCCUCUUUUGGUUACGCAGACCCAAAAGUUCUCAAAAAGGGUUUAUUUACUUUUUUUUAUUCAAACACAAAAAUCAUUUUUGGGUGACUUGGUACACCCUAACUCUAUACCAAGUGGCGACUC